rnacentral:tRNA from 1 species
GACCGCGUAGCUCAGUUGGCAGAGCAUUGGGCUAGUAUUCAAAUGAUCGUAGGUUCGAUUCCCACCGUGGCCA